rnacentral:lncRNA from 1 species
UCAACUACUUUUUACGAUUGCAUGGAGAGUUUGAGUUGUAUCUCAGGGGAGAACUCAACUACUUUUUAUGAUUUCAUAUUGGAUAUUGGAUUAGGUGUAGAGAGAGGAUGAGCGCAUUGAACCAGUAUAAACACUGAUGUGUUAUUAUCUAUCUCUCUUUUUAAUUUUUUUGUAUAGUUUGCACUUUGUUAGGUUUUAUCGCACGUUGUUAGAUUUUAUCUCCUUAUAGAAAUUUUAUGUAAACGUAGGGUUGGUGAUCAGUGUAUUUUGAUGCACGUUCUUCCAUGUUUGUACUUAAGCAUUUCUUCGGUUUGCUUUGAUUAUUUUUAUAUUUUAAUGUGUUUUCAUAAUUUAUUUUAUUUUUGCACUUAUUUAAUUUUCGUAUUUAAUUUUCAGCAUUAGCAGCUUUCGCGAGAAAAAUCAUAUCUUGAGCUAGCGGUAUCGGAUUGAG